UGCAUCUCAGUUGCCAACUCCCGAAGAGUUGACCAUAAAUGCCCUCGAAGGGAGAAGUGAGGGCUACCAUACACCGCAGUUAACACCUAAGGAACCCUGUCAUUACCUUUAACUUGGAUUGCCACUAACACCAAAUGCCACCAGCUAUGCCCCUGGCCUCAACUUUGGCCACACCAUCAAAGCUCAUCAAGCUAAUUACAUUGUCUGCCUUUUCACCACUUACUUGCGUUUCAACCAAAAUAAGUAAAGACGAUGAAUACAUCUCUUUGAAGUCUUUGAUCAAUUGUCUGAAGCCUUUCGCAUUGGCACCUCUACAAUUCCAACUCAAAAUAUUCAUCAACUAAGAAUAUGAAGUGUAGGGUUUGAAAGCCCCAUACCGUCCUUCUGCAAAUCACCCUCAUUUUCCAGACUUGAUUGCACUCUUUCUUUCUAAACCCCACUUCCCUGCAAAUAAAUUGGGGUUUCAAGAACCACUUGGUAAUCCUCCAGCAUAUGGCAUAUGACAUAUGUGAUCCUGACUGACUGACAUAGUCUUUUUUUGGCUAAUCCCUUGUAGCAUUCCCUUGAGCGAAUCUGGUACCUGACUCAAUUCAUGAGCUUCUACUUAU
rnacentral:lncRNA from 1 species